AUUAUAUAUGUAUAUUAUACUGUAUAUCACCCCAUGAAAACAAAACAACUGUCCAGCUCCAAAACUCCAGCUCUCAAACUCGUCCCAGCACACGGAUCAGUAACUUCAUUCCUGAACACACGUUUGAGCAUGAAGAGUGGAGCAGCCGGGAUCACAGGGAUGUUUUUACUGAACUCAGAAGCUGGAGGAUUGAGCACAACAAGUACUGAACCUUCUCUCACAUACACACACACACACACUCACUCUCUCAAACACACACACACACACACACACACAGUGUCACACACACACAGACACAAACACACACACACACACACACACACACUCACACACACACACACACACACACACACACACACACACACACACACACACACACACACACACACACACACACUUCCUGUUAAAAUGUGCUUUACACACACACACUCUCAAACAAACACACACACACACACACACUCAAACACACUCACACAAACACACACACACACACACACACACUUCCUGUUAAAAUGUGCUUUUCUUUUAACAGACGUCUGUUGGUUAUUGAGAAGGAGCGGCAGCCGCAGGUGAUGAGGAUCCACCACAGCGAUGAUGAAGAUGAUGAUGAAGGCAGUCACAGCCAUAGUUUCAGCAGCGAUGACAUCACUAGAGACACGAGCUCUCCUGAUUGGUCCGUUCAGUGUCCCUCAGCAGAAUCUGCAGAGAUGUUGAGACUCAGCUCUUCAUCAGGCUGUUCGAUGUCUCCCUCUCCUCCACCCAGAGCAGCAGCAGCGCCCCCUGCUGGCCGGAGGAUCACACAGCUCCGCACUCGGAGACUCAGAGCUCAUCCUGCAGACGUCAGUAAAGCCAGAGCAUCAGAGGAGACUCAUGGGACUGAGAGCAUGAUGACUGUAAGAUCUCAGACUGCGUGUCCUCAAAUCAUCCACAAACCUCACAGACCCUCCACCAGUCCUCUUAGAGCACAAUGGUCAGAAGCUACUGAGGAUCAUCAACACUCAGACAUCCAACAUAAACCAAUAAUAGGCUCUGAAAAACUGACGCCCAGACGCCCACAAACAGCCAGAGCUGCACUGCAGAGACUACCAGACCGGAAACAUCUGCCUGAAAUGAUGCAUUAAGUAUUUCAGGUUUGAUUGACAGGAGAGUCUCAGCACAGAUAUCAUGUGAUCUCUGACACAGACUGCAGAUCUAUUGGACGAUAAUGUCAGGUGACUGUGAUUGUGAACUCUGUUCUCCUGCGGUGGAUCUGCAGCAGCGCAGCUUCAUCUCUGGCAGAUUGCUAGCAUGUCUGCUCUUGCAGGUUCAGUGUUUGCAGGCAGGUGCAGGUGCAGUUAUUCCACACGUCUCUGAAAGAUUUUCCACAGAUGACAGUCAGAAACAGUGUUGUUCUGACAAACACCACAUAAUUUACUGGCCACAAUCUCCACAGGCUCUGAGCCUUUUAACCAUUUUGGGCAGAAUUUUGUAACGAGUUUUUUGUGCACAUCCAGAUAUAUGUUGUUAAUAUUUGGCAAAUGGAGGAUGGAAAAUUGUUAAUAAAGGCAAGUGGAGAAUGAAAAACAACGUUCUUUUUAUAUAUAUUUUUU
ensembl:lncRNA